UGGAAACAUGAAAUAAGAGCAGGACAGCACUCCUCUUGGUAAGGAUGGACGAAGUCCUAAUAGACUUACCACAAAGUAAGUGACAGUCUUAAACAUGGUUAUCUAAUGUAUAUC
rnacentral:ncRNA from 1 species